rnacentral:rRNA from 1 species
UGCGAGCGUUGUCCGGAAUUACUGGGCGUAAAGGGCUCGUAGGUGGUUUGUCGCGUCGUCUGUGAAAUUCUGGGGCUUAACUCCGGGCGUGCAGGCGAUACGGGCAUAACUUGAGUGCUGUAGGGGUAACUGGAAUUCCUGGUGUAGCGGUGAAAUGCGCAGAUAUCAGGAGGAACACCGAUGGCGAAGGCAGGUUACUGGGCAGUUACUGACGCUGAGGAGCGAAAGCAUGGGUAGCGAACAGGAUUAGAUACCCUGGUAGUCCAUGCCGUAAACGGUGGGCGCUAGGUGUGAGGGUCUUUCUACGACUUUCGUGCCGUAGCUAACGCAUUAAGCGCCCCGCCUGGGGAGUACGGCCGCAAGGCUAAAACUCAAAGGAAUUGACGGGGGCCCGCACAAGCGGCGGAGCAUGUGGAUUAAUUCGAUGCAACGCGAAGAACCUUACCUGGGCUUGACAUACACCAGAUCGCUGCAGAGAUGUAGUUUCCCUUUGUGGUUGGUGUACAGGUGGUGCAUGGUUGUCGUCAGCUCGUGUCGUGAGAUGU